CGAAGCGCUUAGGUCAGAUUCUUCGGAUGAAGGCUUUUGUGACUGAGCGGCGGACGGGUGAGUAACGCGUGGGUAACCUGCCUUACACAGGGGGAUAACAGUUAGAAAUGACUGCUAAUACCGCAUAAGACCACAGUACUGCAUGGUACAGUGGUAAAAACUGAGGUGGUGUAAGAUGGACCCGCGUCUGAUUAGGUAGUUGGUGGGGUAACGGCCCACCAAGCCGACGAUCAGUAGCCGGCCUGAGAGGGUGGACGGCCACAUUGGGACUGAGACACGGCCCAGACUCCUACGGGAGGCAGCAGUGGGGAAUAUUGCACAAUGGGGGAAACCCUGAUGCAGCGACGCCGCGUGAGCGAUGAAGUAUUUCGGUAUGUAAAGCUCUAUCAGCAGGGAAGAAAAUGACGGUACCUGACUAAGAAGCCCCGGCUAACUACGUGCCAGCAGCCGCGGUAAUACGUAGGGGGCAAGCGUUAUCCGGAUUUACUGGGUGUAAAGGGAGCGUAGACGGCAUGGCAAGCCAGAUGUGAAAUACCGGGGCUCAACCCCGGGACUGCAUUUGGAACUGUUAAGCUGGAGUGUCGGAGAGGCAGGCGGAAUUCCUAGUGUAGCGGUGAAA
rnacentral:rRNA from 1 species